rnacentral:rRNA from 1 species
UUCGAAGACAAUACCGGACCUGCUGCACAAAAGUGUUGCCCUCAAAUCAGUGUUUCUAGGUUGAAAAUGGCCAAUAAGUUGAAGAAUAUGAGAAGGCAGUUGAAGGGGAUCACGGAAGACCGCAUUCCUUUCACUUUCAUGCAAGAAAAUGUCCCAAGUGUGCAGGAAGUCCGUUACAACCGGGAAACAACAGCGGCUGUGACGGAAGCACAAGUCGUAGGGAGGGAUAAGGAAAAACUGGAAAUCAUGAAUCGUUUAUCUGGGAGCAUGACAAAAGAGAUCACCAUUCUUCCGAUCUAUGGUAUUGGAGGCAUUGGGAAGACAACCAUGGCACAACUGGUUUUUAAUGAUUCCAAGUUCAAAAAGUACUCUCAGGUGUGGGUUUAUGUGUCCGAGACAUUUGACUUGAAGAAAAUUGGGAAUUCUAUAAUAUCACAACUAUCCGAGAGGAAUAGUCAGCAUACUGACCUUCAGGUGAUAGAAAAUAACCUUCAGACACUCCUUGCUGGUAAAGAGGCACUAAUCAUCUUAGAUGACCUGUGGGAGAGG